rnacentral:rRNA from 1 species
CCUUUAAAUACUUAAAAAUUUGAGUCUUAAAAAUUAUGUGUUUUUUAGAAAGCAGUCUUGUUAUACUACAUAGUAGUGUUUGGCUCUGGCUCACAUAUAUAAUAAAGAUAAAUGAAUACACAUGGUUUUCUUAGAAAGAGGUGAGGAAAUUUAAUAAGUAAAGCUAAUUUAAAAUUGUUUUAUUUAUUAUUUAAAAUAUUAUAAUUUACAUAAUGUUUAGUAACGACCCACUAACUCCAGUGUCAGAGAUUAGAGAAGAGCGAAAGCUUGUUCUAGAUUAGUCUACUUAGCUUGGUAAACUUGGUGCCAGCAUCCGCGGUUAGACCACGAAGUUAAAUUAUAUUUUAAGGUAAAAAGGCAGUUAUAUUUACAAUUAAGUUUUUUAAGUUUAUGUUGAGGGGUAAAAUCCAAAAACAUAAGUUAAAAUCUUAUAAAACUUACAUGAUUGACUCUGCGAAAAUUUUGAGGGAAACUGGGAUUAGAUACCCCACUAUUCUUUAAAAUAAAUCAGAACUACCAGGGAACUACGAAUAAUAAUUUAAAUUUAAAACCCAAAGGGCUUGGCGGUGUUUUAGACUACUUAGGGGAGCUUGUUUCAUAAUCGACAAUCCACGAUAAACCUAACCUCCUUUUGCUUUCAGUAUGUAUACCGUUGUCGUCAGGUAACUUUUAAAAAUAAAAAAGCUAGCAAAUAAGCUUUAAGCUUACACGUCAAAUCAAGGUGCAGCCUACAAGGAGGAGAGAAUGAGCUACAAUUAAAAUUUAUAAUAUGAAUAAAACUUAGAAAUAGAAUUUGAAGGAGGACUUAAAAGUAAAAAAGUAAACAUAAAAACUCUUUGAAUUUAGCUCUGAAACGUGCACACAUCGCCCGUCGCUCUCGUUGAAAAAUGAGAUAAGUCGUAACACAGCAGGGGUAACGGAAGUUGUUCCUAGGCGAAA